AAAAUUCCCCCCGGGGGCUUCAAACCCUGGGGAAACCUGGCAUUCUUGAAUAACUGGGCCAAAGCCUUGAAGUCCUCCGUAAGAAGGGGGGGUAGAAAUUUCCCAGGGUGUAGGCGGGUGAAAAUGCGGUAGGAGAAUCUUCAGGGGAAAUCCCGGGGGGGGGAGAGAGGCGGCCCCCCUGGGACGAAAGACUGACGCUCCAGGUGCGAAAAGCGUGGGGAGCAAAACAGGAUUAGAUACCCUGGUAGUCCCACGCCCGUAAACGAUGUCGACUUGGAGGUUGUGCCCUUGAGGCGUGGCUUCCGGAGCUAACGCGUUAAGUCGACCGCCUGGGGAGUACGGCCGCAAGGUUAAAACUCAAAUGAAUUGACGGGGGCCCGCACAAGCGGUGGAGCAUGUGGUUUAAUUCGAUGCAACGCGAAGAACCUUACCUGGUCUUGACAUCCACGGAAGUUUUCAGAGAUGAGAAUGUGCCUUCGGGAACCGUGAGACAGGUGCUGCAUGGCUGUCGUCAGCUCGUGUUGUGAAAUGUUGGGUUAAGUCCCGCAACGAGCGCAACCCUUAUCCUUUGUUGCCAGCGGUCCGGCCGGGAACUCAAAGGAGACUGCCAGUGAUAAACUGGAGGAAGGUGGGGAUGACGUCAAGUCAUCAUGGCCCUUACGACCAGGGCUACACACGUGCUACAAUGGCGCAUACAAAGAGAAGCGACCUCGCGAGAGCAAGCGGACCUCAUAAAGUGCGUCGUAGUCCGGAUUGGAGUCUGCAACUCGACUCCAUGAAGUCGGAAUCGCUAGUAAUCGUGGAUC
rnacentral:rRNA from 1 species